rnacentral:rRNA from 1 species
GUUAAGUAAUCCACCUGGGGAGUACGCGCGCAAGCGUGAAACUCAAAGGAAUUGACGGGGGUCCGUACAAGCGGUGGAGCAUGUGGUUUAAUUCGAUAAUACGCGAGAAACCUUACCUGGGCUCGAAUGUCUCUGCUAUCUUGAGAAAUCAAGAGUUCCUUCGGGACAGAGUACAAGGUGCUGCAUGGCCGUCGUCAGCUCGUGCCGUGAGGUGUUGGGUUAAGUCCCAUAACGAGCGCAACCCCUAUACUUAGUUGCCAGCACAUAAUGGUGGGGACUCUAAGUAGACUGCCUGCGUAAGCAGUGAGGAAGGAGGGGAUGAGGUCAGGUCAUCAUGGCUCUUACGCCCAGGGCUACACACGUGCUACAAUGGCGUGUACAGAGGGAAGCUACCUGGUAACAGGAUGCAAUCUUGAAAGCACGUCUCAGUUCGGAUUGAGGUCUGCAACUCGACCUCAUAAAGUUGGAAUCGCUAGUAAUCGCACAUCAGCAAUGGCGCGGUGAAUACGUUCCCGGACCUUGUACACACCGCCCGUCACGCCAUGGAAGUUAGGAGGAUCUGAAGACAGUGGCC